rnacentral:rRNA from 1 species
ACGGAGGAUCCAAGCGUUAUCCGGAUUUAUUGGGUUUAAAGGGUGCGCAGGCGGAUCAAUAAGUCAGGGGUGAAAAAUUUCAGCUUAACUGGAAUCGUGCCUUUGAUACUGUUGGACUAGAGUAUAAUUGACGUGACUGGAAUGUGAUGUGUAAAAGAGAAAUUCUUAUAUAUAUUACAGAACAUCAGUAGUGAAGACAGGUCACUAAAUUAGUACUGACGCUCAUACACGAGAGCGUGGGGAUCAAACAG